rnacentral:lncRNA from 1 species
GAACUGAUCCAUCUAUUCUGAGUCUUCGGAGCCGACUGCUCGGAUCGGCUGUAGGCCAAAAUCGGUGACCUUCAGGAAAUCGGUCUCCCAUACUCUGCCGGAUAUGCACCUGACGGUUUCGCAGCUCCACUGCUGCGUGUCGGCUGUCGCGAUGCUGUAUGCGGAAUCGGCUUUGACUACCUCGAUGUUAUCGCCGACCCAUUGUACGAGACAUUGAUGCAUUGUUGACGGAAUACAGCAAUUUGCGUGUAUCCAGUCCCGG